rnacentral:rRNA from 1 species
CCGAGUCUUAAUUGGGCGUUAAGUUGCAGGGUAUAGACCCGAAACCCGGUGAUCUAGCCAUGGGCAGGUUGAAGGUUGGGUAACACUAACUGGAGGACCGAACCGACUAAUGUUGAAAAAUUAGCGGAUGACCUGUGGCUGGGGGUGAAAGGCCAAUCAAACCGGGAGAUAGCUGGUUCUCCCCGAAAGCUAUUUAGGUAGCGCCUCGUGAAUUCAUCUCCGGGGGUAGAGCACUGUUUCGGCUAGGGGGCCAUCCCGGCUUACCAACCCGAUGCAAACUGCGAAUACCGGAGAAUGUUAUCACGGGAGACACACGGCGGGUGCUAACGUCCGUCGUGAAGAGGGAAACAACCCAGACCGCCAGCUAAGGUCCCAAAGUCAUGGUUAAGUGGGAAACGAUGUGGGAAGGCCCAGACAGCCAGGAUGUUGGCUUAGAAGCAGCCAUCAUUUAAAGAAAGCGUAAUAGCUCACUGGUCGAGUCGGCCUGCGCGGAAGAUGUAACGGGGCUAAACCAUGCACCGAAGCUGCGGCAGCGAACGUAUCACCCAAGACAACUUUACGGAGUUGACGAUUGACGGAGCGAAGCGACGUCAAAGCGUUCAUUAAAGUCGAGUUGGCUUAGGGAUACGUUCGUUGGGUAGGGGAGCGUUCUGUAAGCCUGUGAAGGUGUGUCGUGAGGCAUGCUGGAGGUAUCAGAAGUGCGAAUGCUGACAUAAGUAACGAUAAAGCGGGUGAAAAGCCCGCUCGCCGGAAGACCAAGGGUUCCUGUCCAACGUUAAUCGGGGCAGGGUGAGUCGACCCCUAAGGCGAGGCCGAAAGGCGUAGUCGAUGGGAAACGGGUUAAUAUUCCCGUACUUGGUGUUACUGCGAAGGGGGGACGGAGAAGGCUAUGUUGGCCGGGCGACGGUUGUCCCGGUUUAAGCGUGUAGGUGUGUGUUCCAGGUAAAUCCGGUUCACUUUAACACUGAGGCGUGACGACGAGGCACUACGGUGCUGAAGCAACAAAUGCCCUGCUUCCAGGAAAAGCCUCUAAGCAUCAGGUAACAUCAAAUCGUACCCCAAACCGACACAGGUGGUCAGGUAGAGAAUACCAAGGCGCUUGAGAGAACUCGGGUGAAGGAACUAGGCAAAAUGGUGCCGUAACUUCGGGAGAAGGCACGCUGACACGUAGGUGAAGUGAUUUACUCAUGGAGCUGAAGUCAGUCGAAGAUACCAGCUGGCUGCAACUGUUUAUUAAAAACACAGCACUGUGCAAACACGAAAGUGGACGUAUACGGUGUGACGCCUGCCCGGUGCCGGAA